CCCGAUGCCUCGCAUCCUCCCGACGCUGCCCUGUUCCCGAUCCCACAAAUUCUCCCGAUGUCGCCACGGUCCGCACAAAUUCUCCCGAUGUCGCCCCAUACCUGACGCCCGACCCUCGCUCGCACCUCCCCACGAUCCGAGCUCACUCCAGACGGUUUUGCGGCUUCCCAACAUCGCCUCCGUCCUCUCCCCGUCCGUCGUCCAGGCCUCAGGGCGCCCUCACAGGCUCCAGCAGACGGUUUUCGCUGCGUCCUCCUCGCGCGAGUCCGUCGGCGGAAGGUGCCUCCGAGCGUCGCGAGUCCGGGGCGUCCUCCGAGCGUCGGCGGAAGGUGCCUCCGAGCGUCGCGAGUCUGUCGGCGGAAGGUGCCUCCGAGCAUCGCUGCGUCAUCCUUUCGUCCGUCGGCGGAAGGUCGUCGCGAGUCCGGGGCGUCCUCCUCGCGCGUCCGGGGCGGGACCGUGCCUCCGAGCGUCGCGAGUCCUGGGCGGUCUCCUCGCGCGUCCGGGCGGGACCGGCGGACCGCGCCUCCGAGCGUCGCGAGUCCGCGGCGAGCGGCCGGUCUCCGCGCGCGUCCGCGGCGAGCGGCCGGUCUCCGCGUGCGUCCGGGCGGGUACGUGCCUCCGCGCGUCGCGCGUCCGGGCAGGUCCGCUGCUUCGAGCGUCGCGCGUCCGAGCGUAGCUCGUCCGAGCCGUCGGUCUCAGGUCGUCCUCUCCCCGUUCAUCGUCCAGGGCGUCUUCACAGGCCGCGCCGUCCUCUCCCCCUCAGAUCCCGUCGGUAGCAGGUAGGAGGCCGAGCCACCAUGCCCUCUUCGACCUUUGAGCGGGAUGAGGAGCGAGCAGAUCGACAAGGCGCGCCCUUUCCUCCUCCCUAGCUCGAUCCCAUCCUACUCUGUCCAGAUCCAAGUGAUUUUAACAUUUAUUUAUACCCUAGGUGUGUCGAAAGCAGGGGAAUUCAUUGCAGAUGCCAUAUCUAGAGUAGGGAACGGGAUUUGAAAAACAGAAGAUGUUUUGAUCUAAUUGGGAUCCGCUGCCUCUUGGAGUCUGAAGUGGCAGGGCACUGCGUUGGGAGUGCUGGUGUCCAAGGCAGCACUAGCAUAAGCAGGAGAAUGCAUUAAUGAAAUGAGUAAUCCAGGCUUUGCGCUAUCUUAGGCAGGUUGCUCAUGAAGAUACCCAUUCUGUAAUAAUUGGAUGCACACAGUAGCAUGCUGCUUUACACGAUAUUAGGUAAAAGCUGACCAGGUUUAAAGAAGCCCUCAAUGGGCUUGCUGAGGCUGGAUGGCCUGUGAUUGAAAGUGGAGUGGACGAUAUUUUUAUCUCUGUUAACUCAUUCCUGAAUAAAGUGAUCGAUUGCAUGAAACUUACAAUAAUGGAUCGCUUUUAGUCAGUAGCAGUGUACUCUAUGCAAAUGCAUCGAUGCUACAGCAGUUUUUUGUGUAGAUCCCACUUGGGCACUAGCGCUACCACUUGUGGUGUAAUAUCUUUCACUUGUUGACCAUCAAUCCAUCUAUUAGAUAUAGAUUUCCUUGGCUGAUCUUCAUAGUGCAGUGCCAAUGGAAGCUACAAUCUUGCCACCUUGGUAAGUUCAAUUCCUCGUGUACUCUAUUCCUAGUUAGACCUUAUGCUAGUAUUGGUCAUUGCGGUUAAUUCUAAAAAUCUUGCACUCAUGUGAACAGUUCUACUGCCACCUGUUUACUGAAUUGGGCUUAGUCCAUUCUAUGCCAAUAUAUACUCAUGGCCUCCCUCUGUUAUGUUUUCUCCAUCAUGUCUAAUUGGAUCAGGAUCUUUUAGUUGUGCUUAUAUUCAUGGCUCCAUGCUAUUCUGUUUCAGUUUUCUCUGCUUGCCUAAUGCCUAUAUUUUCUUUUUUUCCACUCCACAAUUGUACUUCUCAUUUUUCCUUUUGCUAUGCAAGAUUCGAACAUGGUAAACAAAGCAUGUAUAUUGAUAUGAUCUUGUUUUACGAGGAAUCCCUGAACUUAUUCAGAGGGGCUGAUCAGAAUUUUUUGACAGAUACACUAUUGUUUCAUUCCCUAACAUGGGGACAGUGUCUUUGGUGGAUGACAGGCUCGAUUCUGCUAUGGUUGCAAGACACAUACCUAAACAUAUAGUUGCAAAUAUUUGUGACCAUGUCAGUAAUAUGUGUGAGGAAAUCAUAAUAAAUUGUCACUGAUUUUGUACAAAGGUAUUUAGUUUAAAUACAUAAUUCUUUAAUCCAAAAAUUAAAUUCUAGACAUUAGGAGCUUAUCUGUGCAGUCAAGAUGUGCUCUGUUGAUUUCAUUUCUUGUAAGCUAUUAUAUUGUGCUUAACUUUUUAAAUUCUAGACAUUAGGAGCUUAUCUGUGCAGUCAAGAUGUGCUCUGUUGAUUUCAUUUCUUGUAAGCUAUUAUAUUGUCCUUUCAAUUAACACUUGAGUCAUGCAAGAUUUGGUAUGUUGACUAUGUUGUUGCAUUUUCUAUUCAUCCAACUCAUGGCAAAGGAAGCAACAUUUUCCGGAUACUGUGGAGCUAUCUGGAUGGGGUGUACGAUGUAUGCUGCCCAGCUUCUCGUCUCAAUGCUCUUGGUUGUGAGUUCGUAUCCAUCUUAAUUAAGCUUAAAUGAAAUGUGCUCACAAAUUUGGUUGGACUAUCAAAUGUGCAGUUUCGGCUGAAGCUUUUAAACUAUUGUUAUUCCUCAAAAUGGCCACAAAUGCAUUCACGUUUGCUUUUCUUUUACUACCUUGAAAUUCGUUGAACCAAAUAUACCGUCAAAUGAGAGAUUCAGAUUUCUGCUAUCAAUUUUGUUGGAAACUUCUGGUCUUCUUGUUUGAGAGUGCUGGAAGCUUUUGCUCAUUGUAGUUUGUUUUAGCCUUGUGGAAUAUUGGCUAUUACUGUCAAUUGGUGGAUAAAUAAUCUAUCUUCUAUUGACCACCUGUUGUAUAUGAUGUAAAAGUAAACUAGGUAACUAAGUCUGAAUCUCCAACUAUAGUUGAAAUAACACUGCAUUGGAAUUGACCAUUAUGUUGAUAUUUCAAGUUUGUAGGACAAAAAGUAUUGUGCCUUUUUAUUACAUUAUCAUGUGAUCAUCUCUAGCCUUCCAUUUGAACUCUUGCAUGCAUCAUUGUAAAUGUGGUUGCAAUACCCUUUGUCAGAGUAUCACAACCUAAAUAUAACCCUGACAUUGCUAAAUAUUUGCAACUUUACCUGUUUUUUAUCCCUUAAAUGUUUUGAUCCCUGGACCCAUGUUGACAUGUGUAUAGUUGCACUAGCCUACUGUCACAGUGCUAAUGCUUUAAAAUAUAGUGGUCAAGAGAAUCGUAGAUUCUCUGAGGUAGUAUAAAAAAGGUUAAGAUUUAAAUUAUAUGGAGUUUUAGAAGACAAGCAUGUUCUAACAGUUUCUUCAUAUGCUCUCAUCCUUUUUUAUGUAAAUUUCUUUCCCAUAGUUAUAUAUGUGGUGCUAUCUCUGUUGUGGUGCUAUCUUUGUUCCAAAUAUUUCUUUAAAUUAUAUGGAGUUUUAAAGACAGACAUGUUCUAACUCUUACUUAUAGCUUGAUAAAAUAAUAUAGUUGUGGUGCUAUCUUUGUUCCAAAUAUUUCCAAUACCGUAAAAAUAUUAUAUUCUGUCUUUGGUUUGGGACAGAGAAAAAUUGAGAGCCUUGAGGUUCUACGCUUACCACUAUACAUGAAUCUUUAUUUAACCUGCCUGCUGAUGUGUGCUCUCACCAGUUACAUAUUUUUUUCUAAUUUUAUUAGUUAGCCUUCUUCGACCAGUAGGUGAUGUUGGCCUCAUCGGUACUCAUCAGCAACUAGUGUGCAGCUAGCACGAUUUUAUGAUUUAUCUAUCUUGAUUUAUGUAUGCACUAGCUGACAUUAAAGGAACAAAUUUAUUAUGACUACUACAAACGUGAGCAUUUGUAUCGCUUUUACCAUGUACAACUUCCCGUUACUUGCUCUGCCACUAUACUGAAUUUUGAUCUGUACUACCAUUUACUUUUGUAAGUUUGACCUCCUCUAAUGCACACAUGUUCUGCUAUAGUCAACCUGGGGCAAAUGCACCAUUCGGAGUCGGCACCAUUCCUACCAAUCGCAUCAACCAGUUGUACAUGUACUAAUAAGAACUGUACGACCACUAUGCAACACAGCCUGCUUGGAGUCAUGCUUUGCCCCCGUUCUUUUUUAUUUUUUCAACCAUCUUCCUUUCCUAGUCAAUGUAUCAUGAUCUAUUAGUACAUGUAUUAUUUCCCAAUUUGACGUUAUUCGUUUUUAAUCACAGAUAUCACUGGUUCAUAUU